AUUGAACGCUGGCGGCAGGCCUAACACAUGCAAGUCGAACGAGUGGCGGACGGGUGAGUAAUGUCUGGGAAACUGCCUGAUGGAGGGGGAUAACUACUGGAAACGGUGGCUAAUACCGCAUACCAUCGGAUGUGCCCAUAUGGGAUUAGCUUGUAGGUGGGGUAACGGCUCACCAAGGCGACGAUCCCUAGCUGGUCUGAGAGGAUGACCAGCCACACUGGGACUGAGACACGGCCCAGACUCCUACGGGAGGCAGCAGUGGGGAAUAUUGCACAAUGGGCGCAAGCCUGAUGCAGCCAUGCCGCGUGUAUGAAGAAGGCCUUCGGGUUGUAAAGUACUUUCAGCGGGGAGGCGUUACCCGCAGAAGAAGCACCGGCUAACUCCGUGCCAGCAGCCGCGGUAAUUC
rnacentral:rRNA from 1 species